rnacentral:rRNA from 1 species
UACGGGAGGCAGCAGUGAGGAAUAUUGGUCAAUGGACGAGAGUCUGAACCAGCCAAGUAGCGUGCAGGAAGACGGCCCUAUGGGUUGUAAACUGCUUUUAUAAGGGAAUAAAGUGAGUCUCGUGAGACUUUUUGCAUGUACCUUAUGAAUAAGGACCGGCUAAUUCCGUGCCAGCAGCCGCGGUAAUACGGAAGGUCCGGGCGUUAUCCGGAUUUAUUGGGUUUAAAGGGAGCGUAGGCCGGAGAUUAAGCGUGUUGUGAAAUGUAGACGCUCAACGUCUGCACUGCAGCGCGAACUGGUCUUCUUGAGUACGCACAACGUGGGCGGAAUUCGUGGUGUAGCGGUGAAAUGCUUAGAUAUCACGAAGAACUCCGAUUGCGAAGGCAGCUCACGGGAGCGCAACUGACGCUGAAGCU